CUGUCUGUGUGCAUGUAUAAAUAGGAGAAAGUAUGUGGAAAUCACAGGAGUGACCAUGUGCGCUUGACAGCAGUGUUUGUGGAGAAGAGUUCGUUCUUUCUUCUUCAACAUUGUCUGGAGUGAAUUGUGGAGGCGGUAGCUCUGAGAACAGCUGUUUCUGACAAACACUGUGUAAACACUGUGUGUGCCACUUGAGGAUUGCUCGACUGCGUGUGUUUUUGGAGGGGGUGGAAGGGCAAUUGUUAAGAGGAGACUAACCAUCUAUCUAAUAACCAUUUGGUCUGUUUCAUACACACAGCAUGUGACAUCUGAAAAGCUCAGAGCGAUUUUGGUAGUUAAGUGUUCUGCCCAUAACAAAGCCCACAUCGGCAAAACAUUUU